ACCCGAUGGAAUCCCAACUAAAUGUAAUUCUUCAAAAAACUGACGAAAGUGGAGUUCUUCAAUAUAUCAAGAAAUCUAAAAUUACAAGGCUAGAGGAUGCGGAGCGUCUGCAUUGCACUGAAUCGAUUGAAUUUAAUCGACUUGAUCAUGGCUCAUUUCGAGGCUUCUUCACUGUUCUUGGGGGAGGAAUAGUAUGUUCCCUGUGUUUCCUGGCUGUAGAGAUUUGUGUUAGGUCAUACAAGA